rnacentral:rRNA from 1 species
GAUGAACGCUGGCGGCGUGCCUAAUACAUGCCAGUCGAGCGAACAGAUAAGGAGCUUGCUCCUUUGACGUUAGCGGCGGACGGGUGAGUAACACGUGGGUAACCUACCUAUAAGACUGGGAUAACUUCGGGAAACCGGAGCUAAUACCGGAUAAUAUUUCGAACCGCAUGGUUCGAUAGUGAAAGAUGGUUUUGCUAUCACUUAUAGAUGGACCCGCGCCGUAUUAGCUAGUUGGUAAGGUAACGGCUUACCAAGGCGACGAUACGUAGCCGACCUGAGAGGGUGAUCGGCCACACUGGAACUGAGACACGGUCCAGACUCCUACGGGAGGCAGCAGUAGGGAAUCUUCCGCAAUGGGCGAAAGCCUGACGGAGCAACGCCGCGUGAGUGAUGAAGGUCUUCGGAUCGUAAAACUCCGUUAUUAGGGAAGAACAUACGUGUAAGUAACUGUGCACGUCUUGACGGUACCUAAUCAGAAAGCCACGGCUAACUACGUG